UGAGCUGAUCAGCCCUGAGUGGGGUAAUAGG
rnacentral:piRNA from 1 species